rnacentral:rRNA from 1 species
UACGUCGGGUGCAGGCGUUAAUCGGAAUUACUGGGCGUAAAGCGUGCGCAGGCGGUUGUGCAAGACAGAUGUGAAAUCCCCGGGCUCAACCUGGGAAUUGCAUUUGUGACUGCACGGCUAGAGUGUGUCAGAGGGGGGUAGAAUUCCACGUGUAGCAGUGAAAUGCGUAGAGAUGUGGAGGAAUACCGAUGGCGAAGGCAGCCCCCUGGGAUAACACUGACGCUCAUGCACGAAAGCGUGGGGAGCAAACAGG